GCCCCCCUAGCUCAACCUGGGAGAGCACCCGAUUUGUAAUCGGGAGGUUUCCGGUUCGAACCCGGAGGGGGGCU
rnacentral:tRNA from 1 species